rnacentral:rRNA from 1 species
ACGAAGGGGGCUAGCGUUGUUCGGAUUUACUGGGCGUAAAGCGCACGUAGGCGGUUUGUUAAGUCAGAGGUGAAAUCCCGGAGCUCAACUCCGGAACUGCCUUUGAUACUGGCAAGCUAGAGUCCGGAAGAGGUAAGUGGAACUCCUAGUGUAGAGGUGGAAUUCGUAGAUAUUAGGAAGAACACCAGUGGCGAAGGCGGCUUACUGGUCCGGAACUGACGCUGAGGUGCGAAAGCGUGGGGAGCAAACAGG